UACGUAGGGGGCAAGCGUUGUCCGGAAUCAUUGGGCGUAAAGCGCGUGUAGGCGGCUUGGUAAGUCCGUUCUGAAAGCCCGGGGCUCAACCCCGGGAGGCGGAUGGAUACUGUCAAGCUUGAGUCCGGAAGAGGCGAGUGGAAUUCCCGGUGUAGCGGUGAAAUGCGCAGAUAUCGGGAGGAACACCAAUGGCGAAGGCAGCUCGCUGGGACGUGACUGACGCUGAGACGCGAAAGCGUGGGGAGCAAACAGGG
rnacentral:rRNA from 1 species